GCCUUGAACUCACAGAGACCAGCCUCCCUCUGCCCCCGAGGAUUAAAAGGCAUGUGCCAUACCCAGAUGCAACUUUUGAGAAUUGUUUCUUUUCUUCCAUGGAGGGCCCCAGGGCUUGAGCCCAGAUCGUCAGGCCCGCACAGAGGAUGCCCUCACCCGCUGAGCCAGCUCUGGGGCCCCAGUCUUCAGAUAUGAAGCAGAGGAAUGGAGCGCCUAGGGCCCAAGCCAACGCAUGCAGAAACUGUAGCUCUUCGCUCAUCUGGCUCCUGGUGCGACUGAAAUGAGCCUUCUGGGUAGAGGAAAGAGCAACUUUGACUCUGGAAUGUGGCCACGGUUCUGAAACCCAGCCAGGAGGCCAGGGCUGCCAGGGAAGGCUCAGGCCUCCAGAUCCUCCUCCAAGUGGAAACCGGCAGAUCUAAUCAGCAACUUGAAAAGCUUGAACCUGUGGAACGGACAGCCGGGGCUGUUUUCUGACUACUGUGUGCGUGUGUAUGUGUGAGGGCACGGGCACACGUGUGCGUAUGCGCGCGCAUGCACGCACUAAGAAUAAAACAUUUUUACAAGUAAGUUCUUGAGAGUGACCUGGG